rnacentral:ncRNA from 1 species
UGACGCCUAUAACUGGAUGAAGCAUAUUAUACAAAAUGGUUUUGUAGGCAACCUUAAUAUGUAUAGUCUUGUCUUUAUCGUUACACGAUAAUCAAUUUAUUUC